CCCAUUCAUGAUUAACAAUAGUCAUACAAAUAAUAUAACAUGGAAUGUAAAUGUGGCCUAUAUAGCCUUAUUACGACAAUUGCAAUAAAAUAUAAACCCUAGGAUUAGUCUGUUCAUGUGUGAAACAGUCCCCAAAUCUCCCGUCAAGUUCCACGCAGUCCAUGAUUAAUCUGAAAUGAACAAAAGUGAGCACGUGGUGGUGUCCCCACCUGAUUUUGGCCAGACAUCAUCAAGUAUCAAUUUUGUUUCUUAAGAUAUUAAUGAUAAAUUAUAAAAAUACUGUUUUGUGCAUUGCAUGUUGAUUUAUUGCAAAAAUAAAUUCUAUAAUCUGUAGUUAUAUAUAGAUUUUGUGAUAGUUUUUUUUAAACUUAUUAUUUUUUCCAUUGAAAAACGGACAAUGCCAUGUGAUGGUGUAAGUGCUUAGCAAUUACUACUCCUUCCAAACAAUCACACACAACAUAAUAUUAGAACGAGAGAAUAAGAUACAAGUGGCAAAAAAGAUCUUUCCCCACACUCACUGGCCUGAUUAGUCCCAGGCCCAGCGUACCAUCACCAUGAUUACAUGGAGAAUAAGAAAUGUAGAAUAAAAUAAGUCAAAGGAAAUUAACUAAACGUUAGCUAUGUAAUCUAGUAAUUAGAAACGUUGUCGGUUGGUCUCUCAUACUUCCAUAAUUGAUGUCUUCUUCGGUCCAAAUGAGAAAUUGAUGUUCUUAAUUACCUCAUCAUGUGAUUGUUUUCUGCUGUUUUGACAUAAGUAUUUGUGUUUUAUUGAAUGAUGGCAUAUUUGUCACAUAUAUAAAUGCAAUAAUAGAAAUGAUCUUCUUUUACUUUUUUCAGUUUUUGUCUUGAUCACAGGUUCUGAAGUUUAACCUCACCGAAUCUGGAUUACUGUGUGUUUUGCCAUGGUUAACCAUGGCUAUAUUUGCAAAUAUAGGGGGGUGGAUUGCAGACACACUUAUUUCAAAAGGUCUUUCCAUAACUAAUGUUCGUAAGGUAAUUAUCAUACUUUUCAUAAAAAAAAGAAACUAACAAUUUUUUUAUAGCUAUUAUUUAUAAGAAGUAAUCAUAGGCUCAUAGCUAUAAAGUUGUGUUAUCUUUGUUUAAUUUCUGAAAUAAAACGAUCCUCUGUGAUUCCUUUAGGGUGCAUCAUAGGUAUAAAAUUCUACAGUAAAUUCUUAAUUUGUUAUGCAAUUUUUCAUAAUGCAGAUAAUGCAAACUAUUGGAUUCCUAGGACCAGCAUUCUUUCUUUCACAGUUGAGCAAUGUGCAUUCUCCUGCCCUGGCAGUUUUAUGUAUGUCUUGCAGCCAGGUUAGAACAAUACUCAUAGAUAACGCUCUUUGCAUUUUGGCAUGAAUUGAAUAGACAAUUAGAUAUUGUAUUUAAUGGUAUUUUUUCAUGCAAUUGUAAUAUUUCAUGGCAAUUCUGUAAGAAAACUGGUUCAACAUUUCAUUUGCAAGUUUUGUAUUUUUUCAGUAUUGCCACAACACCUUAUUGAAUUCUUGUCGUUAUUAUGGUUAUUGAUACGUUUUAUUUGUUAAUCAAAUGCUUACGUAGUAGUUGAUUAGUGAUGGUGUCGUGAAUCAUGAGUUACUCACUUGUAGACAAGGGAGUGGGAGUCUAUUGC
rnacentral:lncRNA from 1 species